rnacentral:rRNA from 1 species
GCGAACUCGGUGCAAGGAGCCGGGGGAAGACGGAGGGUUCGAGGGUUAGCCGGAAUUAUUGGGUUUAAAGGGGGCGUAGGGGGCGUUUUAAGUCAGCGGUGAAAACGGGCGGCUCAACCGCAAGAGUGCCGUUGAAACUGGGGAGCUAGAGUAUGAACGAGGUAGGCGGAAUGUGUGGUGUAGCGGUGAAAUGCAUAGAUAUCACGCAGAACUCCGAUAGCGAAGGCAGCUUACCAGGCCAUAACAGACACUGAAGCACGAAAGCGUGGGGAUCGAACAGGAUUAGAUACCCCAUUAGUC